rnacentral:rRNA from 1 species
UACGUAGGGUGCAAGCGUUGUCCGGAAUUAUUGGGCGUAAAGGGCUCGUAGGCGGUCUGUCGCGUCGGGAGUGAAAACUCGGGGCUUAACCCCGAGCCUGCUUCCGAUACGGGCAGACUAGAGGUAUGCAGGGGAGAAUGGAAUUCCUGGUGUAGCGGUGAAAUGCGCAGAUAUCAGGAGGAACACCGGUGGCGAAGGCGGUUCUCUGGGACGGUACUGACGCUGAGACGCGAAAGCGUGGGGAGCAAACAGG